rnacentral:rRNA from 1 species
AUGGGCAGGGUUUUCAGUUCUUUGGAUCCAAAGUGGAAUUCUCCAGCAAAGAUUAACAGCAGAAAUAGCUACAGAAUGGAAGCUGGGAGCACUGCUCAUCAGGUAUAUGUCAAUUUUGUUGCAGGCGGCAACAACAAAGGCAGGCAAUCAGACGGACACUUCUGUCCAGGGCCUGGGAAGAGCAUCACACACUCCCAGUAUCACCCGACAGCCUUGCGAAAUAUUAUUAGUACGACCGACGAAGAUCGUGUGUUCUCUGAAAGAAAAAACUUUUUGGACUCUGCACUAGACUUCCAGAUACUUGGCAUGGUUAACCUCAAGAGAUGUCUUCAGGAGGAGUAA